rnacentral:tRNA from 1 species
CCGAACGUGGACAAGGACAACGGCAGACCACCUGCCGGGCGGUCGCGCUGGUGGAUCGGAGCGGCCCUGCUGGUCGCCCUGGUGUGGUUGGC